rnacentral:rRNA from 1 species
GACGAACGCUGGCGGCGUGCUUAACACAUGCAAGUCGUACGGUAAGGCCCUUUCGGGGGUACACGAGUGGCGAACGGGUGAGUAACACGUGAGUAACCUGCCCACAACUUUGGGAUAACGCUAGGAAACUGGUGCUAAUACUGGAUAUGUGCUCCUGCUGCAUGGAGGGGGUUGGAAAGCUCCGGCGGUUGUGGAUGGACUCGCGGCCUAUCUGCUUGUUGGUGGGGUAGUGGCCUACCAAGGCGGCGACGGGUAGCCGGCCUGAGAGGGUGACCGGCCACAUUGAGACUGAGAGACGGCCCAGACUCCUACGGGAGGAAGCAGUGGGGAAUAUUGCACAAUGGGCGCAAGCCUGAUGCAGCAACGCCGCGGGCGGGAUGACGGCCUUCGGGUUGUAAACCGCUUUCAGCAGGGACGAAGCGUUUUGUGACGGUACCUGCAGAAGAAGCACCGGCUAACUACGUG